GUUGAGUGUGGAUCCCCUCCUCUGCCCUCAUCCCUCUGCGCUCCUUACGGCUUCUCACAUCGCCAUCAGCAAGAGUUCUCAAUAAAGGUAAUGGACACUUGGCAUCUUCUGAGGCAGCCUCAGAAGAACAGUAUUCACGAGAUGCAUCCUUAACAUCCACUCGAGGGAGGAAAAAGAACAUCAAAAAUGGGGACCACACUUGAAGUUUUUGCCGACAAGAUUUCUCAAGCCUUGAAAAAUGAUGACGACAUUCUCGUGAAGAUGCAAGCAGCUCAACACGACCAUGACUGUAAAAUGUUUAUGCUGUCAACUCAGUACCUGGACAGGUCACAAGCUCCACAACCACCUUUUUAUUUUGCACCGAGGCCGCCAUCCCAGCUCUACACACCACAACAUCCACCCCCUCAAAACUCCACACUGUUACCUUCAACUUCAUCUCUUCAUACAUCUUUCAACAUUUAGGUCAACGUCUGCCUUUCAACAAUACAAAUGUUCUCCCCUUUGGACAGACAACACAUAAUGUAAUUCUGAAGAGCUGCACACAUUCUUCAGCCAGCAACAUCCUUCACCUUGCCAUCUUUCAGAUGAACAAAAUAGCUCAACUGUAAAAAAAGAAAAAAGAAAAAAAAAGUUCUUACAAGUUAUGUUAUGCAAUUUUGCACAAUGUAAAAUGACUACUAUUGUGUUUCUAUGUCACGGCCACACAUGUUGAAAUUGCACUAUAUGGCCAGACAGCGUUACUGUUGUCACAAUACAAACAUUUCAAACUCAAUUUCAAUACUAAGGGAAAGGCUAUAUACU